UGAAACAUCUAGGAGUCCGUGCUCCUGAGCCGUUUUCGAUGAUGGAAUUUUCGAAUCGACGAUCGGCUCCGUUAGACUUGAUCUAGCGUAUUUGAAGUUUCUAGAAAAUAAGUUUUGCGAUUUUUCAAUAUCAUUUACCUAGCAAUCGAAAGAAUUCAAAAUCAAUAAUUUUUAACGGCUGAAAAUAAAAAUUUUAUAAAAAGUGGUGAUAUAGCACUAAAAUUUCCGAUUAGAAAUAUUGAUCUUGUUGNCAAGGCUGAAAGUAUUUGAAAACUAAAUUUCACAAUUUUUCGGCAUCAUUUACCUAUCAAACGAAUAGUCUAAAAAUGAACGGCUGAAAAUAAAAAUCUCAUAAAAAAUGAUAAUAAAAGGCUUAAAUUUAAGAUCAGAAAUACUGAUAUUACUUUAAAUAGUGAAAAAAAAUUUCUAUAAAAAUUUCAUCAAAUGUGGAUUGUUUUACACCGUUAAAUUAACAAACGCAUCACAUCUACCUUUAAAAUUGUCAAUUUUGAGACCUUUUGAUCACUAGCCAAAUGAUGUCGAAAAAUUAUGAAAUUUAGUUUCCAAAUAUUUUUAAUGGUAUAGAUCAAGUCUAACGGAGCCGAUCGCCGAUUUGAAAGCCGCAUCAUCGAAACAACUUGGUAGCACAGAGGGCUCCGUGCUACCAAUAGUAUACCAGCCUAGCUAUAUAUAUACACACACAUAAUAUAUAAAACUAGGCUACUAUACUAUCGUAGCACGGAGCGCUCCGUGCUACCAAGUUGUUUUCGAUGAUGCGGCUUCCAAAUCGACGAUUGGCUUUGCUAGACUUGAUCUACACUAUUGAAAGUAUUUAGAAACUAAAUUUCAUAAUUUUUCGAUAUUAUUUACCUAUCAAACAAGUAGUCUAAAAUUGAAUGGCUGAAAAUAAAAAUCUCAUGAAAAAUGAUAAUAAAAGAUUUAAAUUUAAGAUCAGAUAUACUAAUCUUACUCUAAAUAGUGAAAAGAAUUUUCUAUAAAAUUUUCAUCGCAUUUGGAUUGUUUUACACCGUUAAACUCACAAACACACCACAUCGGCCAUUAAAAUUGCUUUGAGAUCUUUUGAUCACUAGUCAAAUGAUGUCGAAAAAAUUUGAAAUUUAGUUUGCAAAUACUUUCAACAGUGUAGAUCAAGUCUAACGGAGCCGAUCGUUGAUUUGGAAGCUGCAUCAUCGAAAACAACUUGGUAGCACGAAGCGCUCCGUGCUACCGAUAGCAUAGUUGCCGGACUCUAUAUAUACACACACACACACACACACAACACCACACACACACCACACACACCACACACACACACCACACACACAUAUAUAUAUAUAUAGGAGCAAGGCUGCUGUGCUCUCAGAAGCACGGAGGCCUCCGUGCUCCUGAGCCAUUUCCGAUGAUAGAUUUUUCAAAUCGAUGAUCGGCUCCGUUAGACUUGAUCUAGCGUAUUUCAAGUUUCUAGAAAAUAGUUUUGCGAUUUUGAUAUCAUUUACCUAGUGAUCGAAAAGAUUCAAAAUCCAUAAUUUUUAAUUGGUUGUCUACCGUUUUCAAGUUUAACGGUGUAGAAGUAUUCAAAUCAGAUGAAAUUUUGAUGUAAAUUUUUAUACUAUCUACAACAAGAUCAAUAUUCCUGAUCAAAAAUUUUAAUACUAUAUCACCACCUUUAUAGGAUUUUUAUUUUCAGCCCGUUAAAAAUUAUUGAUUUUGAAUCCUUCGAUUGCUAGAUAAAUGAUAUCGAAAAAUCGCAAAAAAUAUUUUCUAGAAACUUCAAAUACGCUAGAUCAAGUCUAACGGAGCCGAUUGUCGAUUCGCAAGCUCCAUCAAUGAAAACGGCUCAAGCCUCUGUGCUCCUGAGGUAGUCCUGCUCUCUCUCUCUCUCUCUCUCUCCUCUCUCUCUCUCUUCUCUUAUUAUAUAUAUAUAUAUAUUAUAUAUAUUAUAUAUAUAUAUAUAUAUAUAUAUAUAUAUGGAGUAGGUCUUGUGUGCUAUUAGGAGCAUGGAGGCCUUCGUGCUCCUGAGCCGUGUUUCGAUGAUGAGCUUGCGAAUCGACGAUCGGCUCUGUUAGACUUGAUCUAUUAGAAAAUAAAUUUUGUGACUUUUGAUAUUAUUUACCUAACGAUCGAAAGGGUUCAAAAUCAACGGCUGAAAAUAAAAAUCUCAUAAAAAGUGGUGAUAUAGUAUUAAAUUUUGAUCAAACAUAUUGAUCUUCCUGUAAAUAGUAUAAAAAUUUUCUAUCAAAAUUUCAUCUGAUUUGAAUACUUCUACACAGUUAAACUUGUAAACGGUAUACAUCAACCAUUAAAAAUUGUGAUUUUGAACCCUUUCGAUCUCUAGGAAAAUGAUAUCGAAAAAUCACAAAAUUAUUUUCUAGAUAGUUCAAAUACGCUAGAUCAAGUCUAACGGAGCCGAUCGUCGAUUUGGAAGCUCCAUCAUCAAAAACGACUUAGGAGCACGGAGACCUACUCUCCUCUCUCUCUCUCUCUACGAUAUAUACAUAUAUAAUAUAUAUAAUAUAUAUAUAAUAUAUAUAUAUAUAUAUAUUAUAAAUAUAAGAUAUAUAUAUAUAGUCCGGCUACUAUACUAUCUGUAGCAUGGAGGGCUCCAUGCUACCAAGUUGUUUUCAAUGAUGCGGUUUUCAAAUCGACGAUCGGCUCCUUUAGACUUGAUCUACACUAUUGAAAGUAUUUGGAAACUAAAAGUUCAGAUUUUUUUCGACAUCAUUUGACUAGUGAUCAAAAGAUCUCAAAAUUGACAAUUUUAAUGGCCGAUGUGGUGUGUUUGUGAGUUUAACGGUGUAAAACACUCCAAAUGCGAUGAAAAUUUUAUAGAAAAUUUUUUUCACUAUUUAGAGUAAGAUCAGUAUAUCUGAUCUUGAAUUUAAAUCUUUUAUCAUUAUUUUUUAUGAGAUUUUUAUUUUCAGCCGUUCAAUUUUAGACUACUUAUUUGAUAGGUAAUGAUAUCGAAAAAUUCUGAAAUUUAGUUUCUAAAUACUUUCAAUAGUGUAGAUCAAGUCUAAUGGAGCCGAUCAUCGAUUUAUAAGUCGCAUCAUCGAAAAUAACUUGAUAGCACAGAGCACUCCGUGCUACCGAUAGUAUAGUAGCCUAGUUCUAUAUAUAUAUAUAUUCAUUUCUUGAGCAGGUCUUGUGUGCUAUUAAGAGUACGGAGGCCUCUGUGCUCCUAAGCAAUUUUUAAUGAUGGAGCUUUCAAAUCGACGAUCGGCUCCAUUAGAUUUGAUCUAGCAUAUUUGAAGUAUCUAGAAAAUAAAUUUUAUAUUUUUUGGAUAUCAUUUACCUAGCGAUCGAAAUGGUUCAAAAUCAACAAUUUUUAAUGGUUGAUGUAUAUCGUUUGCAAGUUUAACGGUGUAGAAGUAUUCAAAUCAGAUAAAAUUUUGAUAGAAAAUUUUUUGUACUAUUUACUACAAGAUUAAUAUCUCUGAUCGAAAAUUUUAAUGCUAUAUCACCACUUUUUGUGAGAUUUUAUUUUCAGGCGUUAAUUUUGAACCCUUUUGAUCCCUAAGUAAAUGAUAUUGAAAAAUCGUAAAAUUUAUUUUCUAAAUACUUCAAAUAUGCUAGAUUAAGUCUAAUGGAGCCGAUCGUCGAUUCGGAAGCUCCAUCAUCGAAAACGGUUUAGGAGCACGGAGGCCUCCGUGCUCCUAAUAGCACACAAGACCUACUCUUUAUUUCUCUUCUUUUCGAAUUUCUCUCUAAUUUCACUUCUCUCUUAUCGUAACCACUCAUCAAAAUUGAUAGGCGGCUAAGAAGUUAGGAGCACAAG
rnacentral:lncRNA from 1 species